rnacentral:rRNA from 1 species
AGAGUCUUAUCCUGGCUCAGGAUGAACGCUAGCGACAGGCUUAACACAUGCAAGUCGAGGGGCAGCGGUGGUGAAGGCUUGCCUUUACCAGCCGGCGACCGGCGCACGGGUGAGUAACACGUAUGCAACCUGCCUGCCACAGCCGGAUAAUCGGGAGAAAUUCCGUCUAAUACGGCAUAAUGCACCUAUGGGACAUCCUGUUGGUGCCAAAGGUUGAUUCCGGUGGCGGAUGGGCAUGCGUCGCAUUAGUUAGUUGGCGGUGUAACGGACCACCAAGACGACGAUGCGUAGGGGUUCUGAGAGGAAGGUCCCCCACACUGGUACUGAGACACGGACCAGACUCCUACGGGAGGCAGCAGUGAGGAAUAUUGGUCAAUGGGCGGGAGCCUGAACCAGCCAAGUCGCGUGAGGGAUGACGGCCCUAUGGGUUGUAAACCUCUUUUGCCGGGGAGCAAAGUGCCGCACGUGUGCGGUUUGGAGAGUACCCGGAGAAAAAGCAUCGGCUAACUCCGUGCCAGCAGCCGCGGUAAUACGGAGGAUGCGAGCGUUAUCCGGAUUUAUUGGGUUUAAAGGGUGCGUAGGCGGACGCUUAAGUCAGCGGUAAAAUUGCGGGGCUCAACCUCGUCGAGCCGUUGAAACUGGGUGCCUUGAGUGGGCGAGAAGUACGCGGAAUGCGUGGUGUAGCGGUGAAAUGCAUAGAUAUCACGCAGAACUCCGAUUGCGAAGGCAGCGUACCGGCGCCCAACUGACGCUGAAGCACGAAGGCGUGGGUAUCGAACAGGAUUAGAUACCCUGGUAGUCCACGCAGUAAACGAUGAAUGCUAGUUGUCCGGGGCGAUUGAGUUCUGGGUGACACAGCGAAAGCGUUAAGCAUUCCACCUGGGGAGUACGCCGGCAACGGUGAAACUCAAAGGAAUUGACGGGGGCCCGCACAAGCGGAGGAACAUGUGGUUUAAUUCGAUGAUACGCGAGGAACCUUACCCGGGCUCAAACGCAGGAGGGAUGUUUUUGAAAGGAGGCAGCCAGCAAUGGUCUCCUGCGAGGUGCUGCAUGGUUGUCGUCAGCUCGUGCCGUGAGGUGUCGGCUUAAGUGCCAUAACGAGCGCAACCCCUACCUACAGUUGCCAUCGCGUGAUGGCGGGCACUCUGUGGGGACUGCCUGCGCAAGCAGUGAGGAAGGCGGGGAUGACGUCAAAUCAGCACGGCCCUUACGUCCGGGGCGACACACGUGUUACAAUGGCAGGUACAGCGGGAAGCCACCCGGCGACGGGGCGCGGAACCCGAAAACCUGUCUCAGUUCGGAUUGGAGUCUGCAACCCGACUCCAUGAAGCUGGAUUCGCUAGUAAUCGCGCAUCAGCCACGGCGCGGUGAAUACGUAGCCGGGCCUUGCACUCACCGCCCGUCA